UACGAAGGGGGCUAGCGUUGUUCGGAAUUACUGGGCGUAAAGGGCGCGUAGGCGGUGUGUCAAGUCAGGCGUGAAAGCCCCGGGCUCAACCUGGGAACCGCGCUUGAGACUGGCACGCUCGAGUCCGGGAGAGGAUGGUGGAAUUCCCAGUGUAGAGGUGAAAUUCGUAGAUAUUGGGAAGAACACCGAUGGCGAAGGCAGCCAUCUGGACCGGCACUGACGCUGAGGCGCGGAAAAGCGUGGGGAGCAAACAGG
rnacentral:rRNA from 1 species